rnacentral:rRNA from 1 species
GACGAACGCUGGCGGCGUGCUUAACACAUGCAAGUCGAACGGAAAGGCCCUGCUUGUGUGGGGUGCUCGAGGGGCGAACGGGGGAGUAACACGUGAGUAACCUGCCCUUGACUUUGGGAUAACUUCAGGAAACUGGGGCUAAUACCGGAUAGGAGCUCCCGCAGCAGGGAGGGGGGGGGAAAGUCUCGGCGGGUGUGGAUGGACGCGCGGCUUACGAGCUAGCUGGUGGGGUAGUGGCUUACCAAGGCAUGGGCGGGUAGGCGACCGGAGAGGGUGGCCGGCCUCAUUGGGACUGCGGUACGGCCCAGUCUCCAACGGGAGACAGCAGUCGGGAGUAUUGCACAGUGGGCGGGAGCCUGUUGCGGCAGCGCCGCGUGCGGGAUGACGGCCUUCGGGUUGUGAACCGCUUUCGCCUGUUACGAAGCGUUAGUGACGGUAAUGGGUAAAGAAGCACCGGCUAACUACGUG